rnacentral:rRNA from 1 species
AUUGAACGCUGGCGGCAUGCCUUACACAUGCAAGUCGAACGGCAGCACGGGAGCAAUCCUGGUGGCGAGUGGCGAACGGGUGAGUAAAGUAUCGGAACGUGCCCAGUCGUGGGGGAUAACGUAGCGAAAGUUACGCUAAUACCGCAUACGAUCUAUGGAUGAAAGCGGGGGAUCGCAAGACCUCGCGCGAUUGGAGCGGCCGAUAUCAGAUUAGGUAGUUGGUGGGGUAAAGGCUCACCAAGCCGACGAUCUGUAGCUGGUCUGAGAGGACGACAGCCACACUGGGACUGAGACACGGCCCAGACUCCUACGGGAGGCAGCAGUGGGGAAUUUUGGACAAUGGGCGAAAGCCUGAUCCAGCCAUGCCGCGUGGAGGAUGAAGGCCUUCGGGUUGUAAACUGCUUUUGUACGGAACGAAAAGGUUUGGCCUAAUAAGCUGAGCUCAUGACGGUACCGUAAGAAUAAGCACCGGCUAACUACGUGCCAGCAGCCGCGGUAA